rnacentral:rRNA from 1 species
UAUGCGACCGGCGCACGGGUGAGUAACACGUAUCCAACCUGCCGAUGACCCGGGGAUAGCCUUUCGAAAGAAAGAUUAAUACCCGAUGGCAUAGUUCUUCCGCAUGGUAGAACUAUUAAAGAAUUUCGGUCAUCGAUGGAGAUGCGUUCCAUUAGCUUGUUGGCGGGGUAACGGCCCACCAAGGCAUCGAUGGAUAGGGGUUCUGAGAGGAAGGUCCCCCACAUUGGAACUGAGACACGGUCCAAACUCCUACGGGAGGCAGCAG